UUUGGCUGUGACGCCGCUCCGGCUUUUCUCCCGCUAGAGCUCAACUAAGACAUAAGAUGGCGGCGUGCGUGCGGAGGAAAAGUACUGCUGGCCUACCAGGUGUGGAAAGCAGCCAAAGAGCAAAUCUGAGGAAAGUACAGAAGCUCGCCAACUUUUGUUUUGUGAAAUGGGAAAAGGGGUCAAUUCUAUAAUCAACUUCCCACUUCAAGAAACUAAAAAAGAAAAAAAAAGCAUAAUUAACCCCAAACCAGCUAAAGGAAGGAAAUAAUAAGAUGCAUUUAGUCACUUAAGAGAGACAGAGCAGGAGGAGAGGCAGAAGGAGAGAAUCUCCAAGCAGACUCCCUGCCAAGCACGGAACCGGAUCAAUCCCACAACUCAUGAGAUCAUAACCUGAAUGGAAACCAAGAGUGGGAUGCUUAACCGACAGUCAUCCACGCGCCCCAAAUUAACAUUUGUUAAGUAAAACCCUUGGGAUGUUUGAUGGUGAGCCCAGGUGCUAUAAGAGACCACAAGGAAAAUUGGAAAUAGAGAGUUCAUUACUCACAGGUCCUUGGAGGUAAGUACACCACGCAUCUUGAGGAGCCACAUGAAGAAGUCAAGACGGUGCAGGUAGACGGCAGGUCAGGACCUGGGGCACAUACCUUUGUUAGGGUUUGUAGGUAGUGCUUUGGGAUUUCUGGGCUAAGACUGGAUUGGUCGAUUCAAGCCUAGAAAUGCAAGGUUUUGGUAAGCUUUUCAGGGGUCUAAUACAAGGGUUGCACAAGGGAAAAGCCCUGGGAGGCAAGGGAGACUAUCACAGCGCCAUUGGGGAAGUUGUAUCAGGACUAACAUAGUUGUGACUGUGUAGGUUGUUAUCUAGGGCAUGUGUUUGCAUGAAGAGCAAAUGUCAGUUUAAGGCCCCUUCAGGCCUGUUUAGCCAAACAAAAUGGAUGCUGAGGCAGCAAUAUAGAGAAGCUUAGCUAAAUUUUUCAUAUGUGUAAUCACUUAGGAAUAAAAAAAGAAUGAAAUUCAUACAACAACUUGGGUGAAUCUCCAGAGAAUUAUGCCAGGUGAAAAAAUCCAAUUGUAGAAGGUAUUAUUUAUAUAGUAUUCUGAAAAUGACAGAAUCAUAGAAAUGGAAAAUAGAGUAGUGGUUAUUAAGUUUCAGGGAUGGGGUUGGGUUCAGAAGGGUGAUGAGUUGUAAGAUCACAUGAAAUAUCUUUGUGUUAAAGAAAGUGCUCUGGGGGCACCUGGGUGGCUCAGUCAGUUAAGCCUCUGCCUUCGCUCAGAUCAUGAUCCCUGGAUCCAAUCCCUGAGUCAGGCUCCCUGCUCAGCAAGGAGUCUGUUAAUCACCACCUUCUGUCCCCUGCCCCCCACCCCUGCUCAUGUACUCUCUUGCCCAUUCACUCUCUCAAAUAAAUAAAAUUAAAAAAAAAAAAGUCUGCAUCUUGACUAUUAAUAAAAAUAUCCUGGUGGUGGUGGUGAUAUUGUAGUUUGGUUUUGUAAGCUGUUGCUGUUGGAGUAAUGUGGGUAGACAGUAAAAGGGUUAUCUUUGUAUUAUUUCUAAGAACUGCAUAUGAAUGUACAUUUAUCUUAAAAUUACAGGUUUAAUUAUAAAAAUCUCUGGUCUUGAAUUACUGAUUUAUCAAACCUUUAUAGAUUUCAAGUUAUCUGGACAAGGUUUCAUUUUAUUUUUUUUUGUAACUUUUUUUUAAAAGAAAACUUUUUUUUUUAAGAUUUUAUUUGUCAGAGAGAGAGAGAGCAUGCGAAUGAGCACAAGCAGGAAGAGUGGCAAGCAGAGGGAGAAGGUAGGCUUCCCACUGAGCAAGGAGCCCAAUACAGGACUUGACCCCAGGACCCUGGCAUCAUGACCUGAGCCAAAGGCCAACCCUUAACUGACUGAGCCACCUGGGCAUCCCAAGGCUUCAUUUUCAGUGUGCAAGUAUAGUAUCAUCUUAAUGUCUGAAACUCAGCUGUUUAGCCAGUUAAUGUGUUUUGAACACAGCUCAAAAGUAGAAUAAAAAGCAUUUUGAGUAAAAGAGGUACAGCAGUGUCUGCACUAGAGCUCAUAUUGAAUUCAUUUCAGUGAAUCUCACCUGGAACCUUGAUAUAUAAUUCUAAUAAAUCUGGUUUCCAGGUCCAUGACAGAUUUUGAAAGUAGGAGAGGAGUGAUAGCAUGAAUAAUUGAUUGUUCCUAUAAGUGCAGCUCAUAGCCUGACUGCAGGUAAGGAGGCAAAUAUAUAUAAAAUAGUUUGGGACAGUUUAAUGUAGAGGGCGUCUAGAAAAGGUUAAGUUAUAGUUACAUCUUCAGUUUUGUUAGUCAGAAAAGUAUGUUACACAUUUUAGGAUUCUCUUCUAAAGUUAAAAAAAAGUUUGCAUAUUAAGACACAGCUUUAGUGGUUCCUGGGAGGAGUGAGAAAGCCUUAUUGAUUUGGAAAUGAAGCAUAGUGUUUUUUUUUUAAUCUCUUGUUUUCUACAAAACAGAUGAAAUAAUAGUGAAAUUGUCAUUGCUUAGACUGGUGUAGAUGUCAGUAGUACUGUUGGGAAAGGGCAGUAAGCCAUAAUAGAGGAAUUGGCACAUCUAGGGGAACAUAAUAUCCGAGGUGGUGGCCAACAGUAUAAUACAAUUUUCAGUGUUUGGACUUUUCGAGGGAACUGCAGAGUGGAAGAUAUUUUCAGGAUAGUACUAAGUUGUUACUUUACUUUUACUGUGUUGAUAUCUGCACUGAUGGUGUUAAAGCAGUGGAAAAUAAAUCUGCUUCUGCCUGAGAACAGAGGUACCAAAUUGUACCAGUGGUCAUUGUAUUCUUCACCAUGCACUUGUACUAAAAACUUGAAAAAAUGGUCAAUAUUUAAAAAUAAUGUUUUUGAGCAAAAAUGUUACUAAAUUAUAUUAAAUAUAGACCCAUGAGUACAUGUCUUAAUAUUGUGUGAUUAAAAAGGACAGUAAGCGUGAAUCACUUCUGCAUACUGAGUUAUGGUGAUUGCCUUGGAAAAUCAUCUGUAGCAUCAUAGAAAACUGCUAUUCAAUUUUUUCACUUAAAACAGUUUACUUAGUAGAAUAACUGUUAGAGAAACUAUGGGUUUUUAUAUUUGACUUUUAAGUAUAUAUAUAUUUUUUAAGUAAAUAAGUGAGCUUCUCCUUUCAAGGAAAACAAUUGAUAGUAUUUGUUACCCAUUUAAAAUUUUGGAUUUCAAACAAAAUUUUAGAAUUUUCGUGAACUUAUGUCCAUCUGUAUGAGCUUUAUAGUUUCACCAAUGCUUACUUACAGUUAAGAUUUUUGUGGUAACAUGAGAUUUAUUUAUUUAUUUAUAUUUUAAAAGAUUUUAUUUAUUUAUUUGACAGAGAUCACAAGUAGGCAGAGAGGCAGGCAGAGAGAGAGGAGGAACCAGGUUCCCCACUGAGCAGAGAAACCAAUGCGGGACUUGAUCCCAGGACCCUGAGAUCACGACCCAAGCCGAAGGCAGAGGCUCAACCCACUGAGCCACCCAAGCGCCCAACAUGAGAUUUAAAAAAAAAAAGAUUUUACUUAUUUGACAGAGAUCACAAGUAGGCAGAGAGACAGGCAGAGAGAGAGGGGAAGCAGGCUCCCCACUAUUCAGAGAGCCCAAUGUGGGGCUUGAUCCCAAGACCCCUGGCAUCGUGACCUGAGCGGAAGGCAGAGGCUUAACCCACUGAGCCACCCAGGUGCUGCUACAUGAGAUAUUUUAAUGAAUAUGAUUUUUAAAAUAACAUCUAAUGAAAUGUGCAACAUUUUGAGGAUCUGCAUGACUCAGUAAACCAAUAUUUUCCAAAUGACCCUUGUAGGGUGUUCCACAAUCAUGCAUGGGUUAAAUAUUCAUUGAAAGGGCAAGACCAGUGAAUUUUAAAAUAACAAAAUAUAAGUCAUAGAUUCCUACGUUUCAGCUGAUCUUUGAGAAACUAUCACUUGUUGAGUUUUGGUAUAGUACCAUUGGAGAAUAUUCAUAAUUAUCUGGAAAGAUAUUAAUAUAUUUAUUUUUCAACUUCAUGUCAGUAGGACUUUCUUCAUCUAUUUCCACCCAAGCAAAACAUUUCAUAAUAGCUAAAUGGAGAAGCUGAUAUGAGGUUCCAGCUGUCUUCUAUUAAACCAAGCAUUACUGAGAAUUGCAAACAUACAUAAAUAUAUGUAAGACAAUGCUAUUCAUUGCUAGGGUUAUUUGGUUUUGAAAGUACAGUCAUUUUGCACAAAAAUUCAUUAUGUAAAAUUUGUUAUGUAUGUGAUAUAUUAGAGUUAGGGUUAGAAUUAUAAGUAACAUUAACCAUUUAAGUUAAUUGAUUAAGUUAAUCAUUAAAUUCAUUAUUAAAUAGGUAUUUUAAGUAUUUAAAAGGCUUUUUAGUUUACUUGUAAAUAAAUCAACUAAAGCUCUUUGUUUUCUCAGUAGUCUUAAGAGUAUAAACUCUUCUAAAAGCUUUAAAACCACUGGUCUGAAGUUCAUGUUUGAGGGUAGGGAACAUGGCAGAUAUAUGUCUGAUCUGGCUCGAUGUUCAGGGAGAUGGGAUCCAAAUUGGUAGGUAGAGCAUAUCAGCAGAUACUUCUAGGUAGUUAUGUUAGUCAGGCAGACCGAUUGUCGUUCCCUGAUGGUUGGUUUAGAUUGGUCCAGGACCCAAAACAAAAGAUUGAGGCGGGGGUGGGGGGGUGGUACCUGGGUAGCUCAGUCUUUAAACAUCUAUCUGCCUUCAGCUUAGGUCAUGAUCCUGGGGUCCUGGGAUCAAGCUCCACAUUGGACUCCCUGCUCUAUGGGGAUCCUGCUUCCCCCUCUCCCAUUCCUUCUGCUUGUGUUCCCUCUCUCGCUGUGUCUCUCUCUGUCAAAUAAAUAAAUAAAAUCUUAAAAAUCCUUUAAAAAAAAAAAAAAAAAAGCUCGAGAUACAGAGCAAGACUCCUAAUAGGAAUGAAGGCUAGUCAUAUAGACUGAGAAUAGGAGGUUCGAGGAAUGCUCCAGUUUGGUGAAAGCAUAGGUGAUCAGGGCCUACCUUUGUCAUACUACAUACCAGGUUUUUGUAAUGGAAUAGUUUCAGUCUUCCUAACUGGUAGGGAAUGGAACUCCAGAAUUACUCCUGUGGUGAAUACCCAGCCUCAAAGAGUCCAGGGAUUGAGUUGCAGUUUUACACUAGGUAGCUACUUAGUUGUUUGUUUAAGUAAUAUUUGGAAGUAGAGAAUAAGCUGUUCCUUCAUAUUUGGAAGUCUCCACAUUCCCAUCUUGUGCUUCCUUGAAGUGAUUCUAAACUUUAUGUAAAAUGCAGUUUAUAGGUUAACUAAACAAUAGUUUAAUGUUACCAGAGAACUCAUGGCACAUGCUCAAGAUGUAGAUGUACUUCUUUUGAUUUAAACUUAAAAAUAAAAGAUCUACCAUAUGGUAGAGUUAUAUAGCUUUAUAAGGUUGUUUAAAUAAAACACAGUUGUCUGAUUUCCCUCAUCCCUUACUUUUCCAUUCUCAGAGCAAACCAAAUCAUGCUGAAAUUUCAGUUUUUCUAUUGUAUCUAAAUAAUACGCUAAUUAACUUUUUUAAAAAAUUUUUCGUUUUAGCCAUUAUCUAUUGACUGCCCACCCUGGAUAAUAUUUAACUCUCCUUCAUACACAUACCUUUCUUACUCCCACCCUGAAUUCAGCUAUAUUAUAUACAUACUCAACUGCUGGUCCUUUCUAUUACCUUAAUGUAUUUAUAUUACGAUUUUUACUUUCUCCCUAUGCAGUAUCUAGCUUUUAAAUAUUUAAGUUUACUGAAGUGUAAUUUAAAUAAUAUAAAAUUCACUCUCCUUAGUUUUAUACUUCUGAGUUUUCACAAAGGGCUUCAGUGUAUAACUAUCACUGUAGUCAAGAUAUAAAAUUGUUUCAUAACCUAAAAAAUUUUUCUCAUGCUCCUUUAUAGUUAGCCCUUUCUCCUCAUUCUCUGAUAAUUCCAGUACUGUUUGUUGACAGUUCUUUGUUUUUUCCCUUGCACUCGUUUUACAUCAAUCAGUGCCACAAAUUAAUUGACCAUAUACGUGUGGGUCUAUUUCUAGACACACUGUUUUGUUCCACUGAUCUCUUUGUCUGUCAUUUUGCUAAUACUGCAUAAGUUUUGAAAACAGGUAUUGUGAGUGCUCCAGUUGUAGUUUUUUCCCCCAAAACUGUUCUGGCUCUUCUAGUUUCUUGGUUUUCCCAUCACUGCCCUAAACAUCCCCUGUGCUCUGCCAGUUUGUGCUUCUCUCUCCCUUAGCCUCAGGCAACCACAGAUCUUUUUACAGUCUUAAUGAGUUUGUCUUUUCCAGAAUAUCAGGUACU